AUUGAACGCUGGCGGCAGGCCUAACACAUGCAAGUCGAACGAGUCGCGGACGGGUGUGAAAUGUCUGGGAACCUGCCUGAUGGUGGGGGAUAAUUACUGGAAACGGUAGCUAAUACCGCAUAUCAUCAGAUGGGUCCAGAUGGGGUUAGCUUGUUGGUGGGGUAACGGCGCACCAAGGCGACGAUCCCUAGCUGGUCUGAGUGGAUGGCCAGGCGCACUAGAACUGAGACGCGGUCCAGACUCCUCCGGGAGGCAACGGUGGGGAAUUUUGCACAUGUGGCGCAAGCGUGGUGCGGCCAUGCCGGGUGUCUGGAGAGGGCCUUCGGGUUUUGAAGGUCUUUCAGCGGGGAAGCGGUACCCGCAGAAGAAGCACCGGCUAACUCCGUGCCAGCAGCCGCGGUAAUAC
rnacentral:rRNA from 1 species